rnacentral:rRNA from 1 species
AGAGUUUGAUCAUGGCUCAGAACGAACGCUGGCGGCGUGGAUAAGACACGCAAGUCGAACGGUGGCUUUGAGGUAGCAAUAUUUUGAAACCGCAGUGGCGAAAGGGUGCGUAACACGUGGGUAAUCUACCGCUGGGUCUGGCAUAACGCGCUGAAAGGCACGCUAAUACCGGAUGUUUGCCCCGAAAGGGUGCAAAAAAGCUGGGGACCGAAAGGCCUGGCGCCCAAUGAUGAGCUCGCGGCCUAUCAGCUAGUUGGUGGGGUAACGGCCCACCAAGGCGAUGACGGGUAGCUGGUCUUAGAGGACGACCAGCCACACUGGAACUGAGACACGGUCCAGACACCUACGGGUGGCAGCAGUCGAGAAUUUUUCACAAUGGGCGAAAGCCUGAUGGAGCGACGCCGCGUGGGGGAUGAAUGGCUUCGGCCCGUAAACCCUGUCAUUUGUGACCAAGGCUUUUCGGGAAACACCCGAAAAGUUGAUAGUAGCAGAAGAGGAAGGGACGGCUAACUCUGUGCCAGCAGCCGCGGUAAUACAGAGGUCCCGAGCGUUGUUCGGAAUUACUGGGCGUAAAGGGCGCGUAGGCGGUAAUGCAAGUUGCGGGUAAAAUUUCACGGCUCAACCGUGUCAGGCUCGCAAGACUGUGUUGCUAGAGGGCUGUAAGGGGGGUUGGAAUUCUCGGUGUAGCAGUGAAAUGCGUAGAUAUCGAGAGGAACAUCAGUGGCGAAAGCGAACCCCUGGGCAGAUCCAGACGCUGAGGCGCGAAAGCCAAGGUAGCAAACGGGAUUAGAUACCCCGGUAGUCUUGGCUGUAAACGGUGCGCACUUGCCGCGAGGUGGAUCAUACCGCUUCGUGGCGUAGCUAACGCGUUAAGUGCGCCGCCUGGGGAAUACGGCCGCAAGGCUAAAACUCAAAGAAAUUGACGGGGGCCUGCACAAGCGGUGGAGUAUGUGGCUUAAUUCGAUGCAACGCGAAGAACCUUACCUAGCCUUGACAUCCUAGUAUUAGCAUCUGGAAACAGGUGUGAGGUAGCAAUACCAAGCUAGGACAGGUGCUGCAUGGCUGUCGUCAGCUCGUGUCGUGAGAUGUUGGGUUAAGUCCCGCAACGAGCGCAACCCCUGUGAUCAGUUGCAACCAUUAAUUUGGGCACUCUGAUCAUACUGCCUCGCUAUAACGAGGAGGAAGGUGGGGAUGACGUCAAGUCAGUAUGGCCCUUACGGCUAGGGCUGCACACGUACUACAAUGCAUGAUACAAUGGGCAGCUAGUCCGCAAGGAUGUGCUAAUCUUCAAAAUCAUGCCCAGUUCAGAUUGUCGUCUGCAAUUCGACGGCAUGAAGCUGGAAUCGCUAGUAAUGGCGCAUCAGCUACGGCGCCGUGAAUACGUUCCCAGGCCUUGUACACACCGCCCGUCACAUCAUGAAAGCCGGGCACACCCAAAAAGGCGUUGCUAACCGUAAGGAGGCUAACCUUUAAGGUGCACUUGGUGAUUGGGAUGAAGUCGUAACAAGGUAACC